AUUGAACGCUGGCGGGAUGCCUUACACAUGCAAGUCGAACGGAGUGGCGAACGGGUGAGUAAUGCAUAGGAAAGUGCCCAGUAGCGGGGGAUAACUACGGGAAAGCGUCGCUAAUACCGCAUACUAUUAGAGCGGCCGAGGUCGGAUUAGCUAGUUGGUGGGGUAAAGGCUUACCAAGGCGACGAUCCGUAACUGGUUUGAGAGGAUGAUCAGCCACACUGGAACUGAGACACGGCCCAGACUCCUACGGGAGGCAGCAGUGGGGAAUUUUGGACAAUGGGCGAAAGCCUGAUCCAGCCAUGCCGCGUGUGCGAAGAAGGUCUUCGGGUUGUAAAGCACUUUUAGUAGGGAGGCGUUACCAGCAGAAUAAGCACCGGCUAACUACGUGCCAGCAGCCGCGGUAAUAC
rnacentral:rRNA from 1 species